rnacentral:rRNA from 1 species
CACCCGAAGCCGGUGGAGUAACCUUUUAGGAGCUAGCCGUCGAAGGUGGGACAAAUGAUUGGGGUGAAGUCGUAACAAGGUAGCCGUAUCGGAAGGUGCGGCUGGAUCACCUCCUUUCUAAGGA